GCUGAGGUAGCAAAGCUUGGUUUAGCGCCUUUUUGCGCAAUAUCCGCGCAAAAACCCGCGGGAAAAAAUACGCCUGCGGGCAGAAGGCGGACCAACUGCGCCGGUCUCGAAAACCGGUGGGCGCAAGCCCGCGGGAGUUCAAACAAGUGGCACAUGCGUGCGCCCCUUGAACCCCUACGACGGGUUCACGAGAAUCUCCCCCUCAGCGCCA
rnacentral:tRNA from 1 species